CACCUGAGUAGUAUCCGUGAUUUUAAUGGGACUACUUGAGUGAAAUCAGCUGCUGACACUAUAACUUCUAAAGACAUGCCAGAAAUGGAGUUCCCUGCUGUGUUUUAAAGAUUAGAGAUGCCAUCGGCUGUUAAAGGGAAAAGCUGAACUUUAAAUUUGGCAGGAAUUUCAGCUAAACACCAAUGCCCGAUUCCAAGGGAGAUAUUCAGCCUCAAUAAUUGACUCUAAUUAGAGCCCAAAGAAGAGAACAAACUCUCCUGCUGCUCACAGAGCUUCCUUUCUUUCCUCAAGCUGUCUUGAUACCAGUCCUUGAAUAACCCGAAGUUCACAACACAGCAUGUCUUGCCAAGAGUCCAAAUUUACUCUUAUGCUAAAAACUUGGAAGACUAUGUGCACUAGUGUUACUACUGAUGCCUACCAAAACAGUAUUACUAUAAGAAGUCUUGUAUCAGGUGAGAAUGUACUAAGCUGUGCUGUUCCUUUAUUCUAGCUGUUACACUGAUUGUUACUUGCAGAAGGCUGGAGUCUGCCGCCCCUAGUCACAUUAAAUAGUGUCUAAUGCUGCAAUUAAUCCCAUUGAAACCAAUGGAACUUCAUAUGGAAUGACAUACUGUUAGAAUUUUGCUCAAAAUUAGGGCUUGGUACAACAAAUCCUUGCUAGUAUGAA